rnacentral:rRNA from 1 species
AACGGCCCACCAAGGCAACGAUCAGUAGGGGUUCUGAGAGGAAGGUCCCCCACAUUGGAACUGAGACACGGUCCAAACUCCUACGGGAGGCAGCAGUGAGGAAUAUUGGUCAAUGGACGAGAGUCUGAACCAGCCAAGUAGCGUGCAGGAAGACGGCCCUAUGGGUUGUAAACUGCUUUUAUAAGGGAAUAAAGUGAGAGUCGUGACUCUUUUUGCAUGUACCUUAUGAAUAAGGACCGGCUAAUUCCGUGCCAGCAGCCGCGGUAAUACGGAAGGUCCGGGCGUUAUCCGGAUUUAUUGGGUUUAAAGGGAGCGUAGGCCGGAGAUUAAGCGUGUUGUGAAAUGUAGACGCUCAACGUCUGCACUGCAGCGCGAGCUGGUUUCCUUGAGUACGCACAAAGUGGGCGGAAUUCGUGGUGUAGCGGUGAAAUGCUUAGAUAUCACGAAGAACUCCGAUUGCGAAGGCAGCUCACUGGAGCGCAACUGACGCUGAAGCUCGAAAGUGCGGGUAUCGAACAGGAUUAGAUACCCUGGUAGUCCGCACGGUAAACGAUGGAUGCCCGCUGUUGGUCUGAAUAGGUCAGCGGCCAAGCGAAAGCAUUAAGCAUCCCACCUGGGGAGUACGCCGGCAACGGUGAAACUCAAAGGAAUUGACGGGGGCCCGCACAAGCGGAGGAACAUGUGGUUUAAUUCGAUGAUACGCGAGGAACCUUACCCGGGCUUGAAUUGCAGAGGAAGGAUUUGGAGACAAUGACGCCCUUCGGGGCCUCUGUGAAGGUGCUGCAUGGUUGUCGUCAGCUCGUGCCGUGAGGUGUCGGCUUAAGUGCCAUAACGAGCGCAACCCCUCUCCUUAGUUGCCAUCAGGUUAAGCUGGGCACUCUGGGGACACUGCCACCGUAAGGUGUGAGGAAGGUGGGGAUGACGUCAAAUCAGCACGGCCCUUACGUCCGGGGCUACACACGUGUUACAAUGGCAGGUACAGAGAGACGGUCCCUUGCAAAACGGAUCAAAUCCUUAAAGCCUGUCUCAGUUCGGACUGGGGUCUGCAACCCGACCCCACGAAGCUGGAUUCGCUAGUAAUCGCGCAUCAGCCAUGGCGCGGUGAAUACGUUCCCGGGCCUUCUACACACCGCCCGUCAAGCCAUGAAAGCCGGGGGCGCCUAAAGUCCGUGACCGUAAGGAGCGGCCUAGGGCGAAACUGGUAAUUGGGGCUAAGUCGUAACAAGGUA